rnacentral:rRNA from 1 species
UUCUGACCGUAAACGAUGCCAACUAGCGAUCCGCCGGUGGUAAUUACGCCCCGGCGGGGAGCUUCCCGGAAACGAAAGUCUUCCGGUUCCGGGGGAAGUAUGGUUGCAAAGCUGAAACUUAAAGGAAUUGACGGAAGGGCACCACCAGGAGUGGAGCUUGCGGCUUAAUUUGACUCAACACGGGGAAACUCACCCGGCCCGGACACCGUAAGGAUUGACAGAUUGAGAGCUCUUUCUUGAUUCGGUGGUUGGUGGUGCAUGGCCGUUCUUAGUUGGUGGAGCGAUUUGUCUGGUUUAUUCCGAUAACGAACGAGACUCUGGCCUACUAACUAGUGACAGGAUUAUUGCUGUCCUGGUUACUUCUUAGAGGGACAAGUGGUGUUCAGCCACACGAAAUUGAGCAAUAACAGGUCUGUGAUGCCCUUAGAUGUCCGGGGCUGCACGCGUGCUACACUGGAGGAAACAGCAUGCAAAACCAUUGCCGAGAGGCAUUGGUAAACCCGAGAAAAUCUUCCGUGAUCGGGAUCGGGAAUUGCAAUUAUUUCCCUUGAACGAGGAAUUCCCAGUAAGUGUGGGUCAUCAGCUCGCGUUG